CAAUAGCGUAUAUUAAUGUUGUUGCAGUUAAAAAGCUCGUAGUUGGAUUUCUGGUGGGAGCGGCCGGUCCGCCGUAAGGUGUGUACUUGGUUGUCUCCUGUCAUCCUUGUGGGAACUGCUCUGGCAUUAAGUUGUCGGGGUUAGGGAACACAUCGUUUACUGUGAAAAAAUUAGAGUGUUUAAAGCAGGCUUAUGCCGUUGAAUACAUUAGCAUGGAAUAAUAGGAUAGGACUUUGGCGUCUAUUUUGUUGGUUUGCACACCAAGGUAAUGAUUAAUAGGGAUAGUUGGGGGUAUUCGUAUUUAAUUGUCAGAGGUGAAAUUCUUGGAUUUAUGAAAGACGAACUUCUGCGAAAGCAUUACCACAGAUGUUUUCAUUAA
rnacentral:rRNA from 1 species